CCUACGGGGGGCAGCAGUGGGGAAUAUUGCACAAUGGGGGAAACCCUGAUGCAGCGACGCCGCGUGAGUGAAGAAGUAUCUCGGUAUGUAAAGCUCUAUCAGCAGGAAAGAUAAUGACGGUACCUGACUAAGAAGCCCCGGCUAACUACGUGCCAGCAGCCGCGGUAAUACGUAGGGGGCAAGCGUUAUCCGGAUUUACUGGGUGUAAAGGGAGCGUAGACGGCAGCGCAAGUCUGGAGUGAAAUGCCGGGGCCCAACCCCGGAACUGCUUUGGAAACUGUGCGGCUCGAGUGCGGGAGAGGUAG
rnacentral:rRNA from 1 species